CGACUGCUAAUACCCGAUGUGCCGGAAAGGUGAAAAUUUUUUGCCUCAAGAGGAGCUCGCGUCUGAUUAGCUAGUUGGUGGGGUAAAAGCGUACCAAGGCAACGAUCAGUAGCUGGUCUGAGAGGAUGAGCAGCCACACUGGGACUGAGACACGGCCCAGACUCCUACGGGAGGCAGCAGUGGGGAAUUUUCCGCAAUGGGCGAAAGCCUGACGGAGCAAUACCGCGUGAGGGAGGAAGGCCUUUGGGUUGUAAACCUCUUUUCUCAGGGAAGAAGAUCUGACGGUACCUGAGGAAUAAGCAUCGGCUAACUCCGUGCCAGCAGCCGCGGUAAUACGGAGGAUGCAAGCGUUAUCCGGAAUUAUUGGGCGUAAAGCGUCCGCAGGCGGUCUUUCAAGUCUGCUGUCAAAGACCAGAGCUUAACUCUGGGCAGGCGGUGGAAACUGAGAGACUAGAGUUCGGUAGGGGUAGCGGGAAUUCCCAGUGUAGCGGUGAAAUGCGUAGAUAUUGGGAAGAACAUCGGUGGCGAAGGCGCGCUACUGGACCGAAACUGACACUCAGGGACGAAAGCUAGGGUAGCG
rnacentral:rRNA from 1 species